GAAAAAAAAAAAAGCUAGUUUUUAAUUCUUUAACCAGGGAUUACUGUAUAUGCAUACAUCCCAGAAAGUGAGAGACUGGCAUUUCAGGUUGUGUAAAGUUAAUAAUUGGCUGCUGAUUCACUUGGCACUAACAAAUGUUCAUUUAUAAGCAACAGAAGUGACUGAAAAUAAAAGUGUUGAGUAGUAAAGUAUGUGAAAUAGACAUAAUGAUAAAUGAAAUUAAAUUAAAGCUACUAUAAUGAAAACAAUAAAUCAGGACAUUUUGUUAGUGGAGGGGUUAUUUUUUCUAUUGCAAAAGGUAGAGAGGUGCUUUUCUCCUGCCUGCAUCCCAGAUGCAGAAAACGUGCAGCAGAGAACAGUGACUGGACUUCUGAUAGCUCUAUUGACUUAUCAGGGAAGGAUAAGUGCUGAUGCUGGCUCAGGAAGAGGGACUUUUGUCACAUCAAGAGUAAGCUCCACUACCAAUGUGUUGCUGAACAGUCUUUUUUCAUGUUUUUCUAUUUUCUAUUUGGAAACUAAGAGGAGAGGCUUCAGGAAAAGGAUUAACUACAUGUGCAUUUCCUACUUCUGUGCUGGCUGAGUCCCACUGAGUAACACAGGUCUUUCCAUGAAGCAGCCUCCACAGCUGGUUCAGACAAAGUGCAGCAAGGUGAUGCCUUUCAGUGGUCCCAGUGUGAAGUGGUGAGAGUGACUGCAGCUGUCACACAAGCAGAAAAGGGUGACUGAGCAAACAGCAGGGCAAUCAGCAACAGCACAGCAGCCAACAAGAACCAAAGCCUCCCUGUAGAGAAGGGGCUCUGAAAGGCUUUGAAGAGAGACACCACAUAGCGCAGAGUCUGACUGAGGUCCGUUUCAGUGUCACAUCGCUCAGCCUUACCUGUGGAGCAAGACAUCUUUGCCUACCUUGUGCCACACAGUGUUCCUCAGCUCCUGAGCCACCUCUAGCCCUAAGUAAGCAAACAUUUGCAGGAAGAGUGUUUUCAAAAUGCACACUACAGUUGCCAUAUGGUACUGAAAGAACUGAAAUUGAGGUGGUGGUGGUGGAGAAAGUUAAUUAAAUUGUUAGUAAAUAGCUA